AUUGAACGCUGGCGGCAGGCCUAACACAUGCAAGUCGAACGAGUGGCGGACGGGUGAGUAAUGUCUGGGAAACUGCCUGAUGGAGGGGGAUAACUACUGGAAACGGUAGCUAAUACCGCAUACCAUCAGAUGUGCCCAGAUGGGAUUAGCUUGUUGGUGGGGUAACGGCUCACCAAGGCGACGAUCCCUAGCUGGUCUGAGAGGAUGACCAGCACAAGUGGAACUGAGACACGGUCCAGACGCCUACGGAAGGCAGCAGUGGGGAAUAUUGCACAAGGUGCGCAAACCUGAUGCAGCCAUGCCGCGUGUAUGAAGAAGACCUUCUGGUUGUAAAGUACUUGCAGCGGGGAGGCGUUACCCGCAGAAGAAGCACCGGCUAACUCCGUGCCAGCAGCCGCGGUAAUUC
rnacentral:rRNA from 1 species